ensembl:lncRNA
CUGUAGAACAACAGCAGGCUUUAUAUGAAAUGUAGGCUACUGUACAGAGCAAAUUUAAUACAACAUUCCCUGCAUUCAUAUAAAAUAGGAGGUGCCUUGCAUAUGGCAUUAACAUGUGACAUGAAAACAAGUCAUAUCUGCAACUUGCACUAAAAUAAUACAAAUAAAUAAAUAGAUAUUUUAGCAACCAAUAAGAGUUCUUUAAAUAAACACUUUCAGAAACAAUUUUAGUAGCAUCAGUAAAGUUUGGGGAAAACCUGUGGGGUAGGGCCUAACGUUAAUCUUCAGUGUGUGUAAAAAGUUUUUUUUUUUUUUUUUAUGGAAAUACGGUGGCCGAGAGAGGUCAACUCACUUCAAAUGAAAAAAUGAAAAGAAAAAAAAAACAUGCAAACAGAAAAAACACCAGCAAAUAAAAAAAAAUACAUAAUUCAACAGAAAAUGAUGGCUGUGGUGAAACAAGCACUUAAAUAAUGGAACUAAGACCUGUGAGAGUGCUGGAGAAAUCAAGUGUACCAAGUCCUCUGUCUCCUCAGCCAUGUAAGAGAUCUUCAGAUAUCAAGAGAGUGAGGAGUUAAAUGAAAUCAAAGAGCUAAAAGAUCUACAAUAUUAGUGCCAAUUCAGUAUGAAAACAGAGAGAGAGCUGAGGGAGUGGAAAGAAAUGCAUGUUAUUGUGCAAGGGGUAGUUGCGUGGACUAUCAGUGGAAGGACAGAAAGUGCUGAGAUUUCAUUAUAAAGACAUUUUCAUUUGUGUUCUGAAGAUGAACAAAAGGCUUGCUGGUUUGGAACAACAUGAGGGCAGUCAUAAGAACCAAGCGGAAUGAUGAGGAUAAGCUCUUCAAAAAAUGAAACCUGCCUGAAUAAUGAGAGAAGAAAUAUGCAUGAUUGCGUGAUUUGUAAAUAAACACACAAAGUACAUUUAGUGUAACUCUCAGCCUGUUAUUUUAAGUUUAAAGAAAAGUAAAAUAAUUUAUUGUAGCAUUGCUGUUUGAGAAAUUCACUGUUGUUCAUUAUAUUGCAGUUGUUUGCAAAUAAAACUUGUUAUUCUGAAAAUACUGUUUGCAUUUCAGUGUUACUCUUCAGCAUUUUAUUAGUAUUGCACUUCGGUUGUAUUGUAUUGUUCUUCAGUUGUAUUAUAUAUUG